GGGCUGGUAGCUCAAUUGGCAGAGCAGAUCCCUCUUAAGGAUAAGGUUUUGGGUUCGAUUCCCAACCAGCCCACCA
rnacentral:tRNA from 1 species